CCAAAAAUUCACAAAGCACCGAAGCUUAUUACAUUGCCGUCUAAUCAAGGAGGAAGGACUGACUUUUAUAUAAACACAUCACUGAAAGUAGAAGAAAAUAAAAUGACUUAUGUGGAGCCAACAACACUCGUAUAAGCCAUAAGCGCAUUAACGCAAUUCAAUUUGCUCUGUUUACGUAGCAGCAAAAACAACUGGCUCGACAGCAACAGCAGCCGCAACAGCACGAGCCAUACAAAGCCCAUCAAACAAUGUAGGUGGCGCCACCUGUGUGCGAGCUAUAGCAACAAAAAACAAUACAACCAGAGACGGUCAUAUGCCGAAAAGUCCAUGAUGUCCAUGAAUCGAUGUCCACGUUUAGAGACCACGUCCAAUGGCCUAUUAUCAUGCAGCAACGGCAGCUAC